ACUACCAUAGAGUAAGUAAAGUUGUGUUGAGGUUAUGUGUUGACAAACGUGACAAACGUUCUGGGGUACUGAUGAAUACGAUUAGUCGCAGUAAAUAAUAUUAUAAUGUAAAAAUUUAAUAUGUCUUUGCCAUAUUUGUGGGGGACCAAAUGUGCCGCAAAGGGUUGUAAUUCUAAUCCUAGAGCCAUAUUUGUGGGGGACCAAAUGUGCCGCAAAGGGUUGUAAUUCUAAUCCUAGAGAGCGGCGGUUUUUCCGUUUUCCAAACACCAAGACUGCUUCUUCUAACAUAAGGUGUCAAAAAUGGAUUGAAUGUGUCAAGACUGACAACUUCAGUGCAACAAAUUAUUUUUGUGCGAAUUGCAUUUCGAUGGCAGACAGUUUCGGUAUGCUGAAAGAACGUUGUUGAUAUAUGGUGCAGUACCUACUAUUCCUUCACUUGAUAGCCGACAGAAUAACUUACAUGUGUGACAUCAGAUACUGAGUGUCAAACUGCUGAUGCUAGUGUAGGCCUACAUGUUUGUGUCAACAGCGAGUUUGUGUAGUGAAGAUGCUUUUGUACAAGUUCCAGUUAAUCAUACACCGUACAAAGAUUCAUGAGUGUAGAAGCUUUUCCUAACUUACUGUCUAACAUGAUGAUGUUUCUGUGCAUCCUGCCCAAAAAUUCAUUUACCAGUAGAGUAGUUUCAGAAGGUGAGCAAUGUGAAGAAAAUUUACAAACAUGCAGAUGCCCACGUAGUUACAGUUUUUGGCAUAUUAACUGGGGGAGUGAGAUGUUUUUCAAAGGUCUAAUGUAGUUAUUUUAUAUGGGUGUAUGUCACUAUAUGUUUUAUGUAGGAGAAUAUUAUCUUUACUUGAUGUAAUAUUCUUACAGCACAGCUUUUCCGUGAAGUAAUAAUAAAAUUCCGGAAAUACUUUUUUCAAACACUAGGCACAUUCCUGAAUUUACCCUGAAAACAGAAUUUCUGAAUUCUUACUGGUUUCUGAGAAAUCAAAGUUUAUAACUUACCUUACUGUUUUGCUGUUCUGGGUGGGUCUGUCUGUAUAUGAUUUGGAUAACUUGAGUUAAAUCUCAAAUAUGGUCAAUUACAUUAGGUUAGCUACAUUAAAAAUGCUUCAAAACAUAUUGGAUGGUUGGUUAGGUUAGUAUAGUUACAUUACAAAUAGGCUAUUGUAAAAUAUUUCUAAUUGUUGCUUAGGAAUUACCAAUUUAAAGUUUAGCUAUACUAACCCAAACAACAAAGUACCAAUUUUUAAUAUAUCAAUGUUAAACUCUAUAAUCGGCCCAUUUUCCACCAAAAAACCAUUGACUACUUUGUAUUUAAAUAAAGUGUUUUGCAUUUUGAAAGUGUUUUAUUUUAUGAUUUGUCGCAAAAAUUUUAGGUGUACAUUGGCUGCACUUAAAAACAGUCAAAUAUGUAGCUGCGGUGGCAUUAAUACGUAAGUACCAUAAAAAUGCAACCUGAAUAAAUUUCUCUGAUGCCUACAUGUGGAAUAUCUUAAUCUUGGCAACUUAUGUUUAUGUUAAUUGUAGCAAGUUUUCCAUGCUUGUUACAGUGCUUGUCAUUACCUUACGACUUUUCUUAGUCUUCAAAAAUUGUUUAUAGGUUUUCUGAUGUCAUUUUUUAAAUGUUUGUUAGCAUUUGUACAAUAAAACUGUUCAUUGCUAGUAUUAAGUGUAUUUUUAUUAGUUACUACCUAUAGUAAAACUCAAAAAAAAAAACUUACUUAAAGGCCUAUUUUAAGUAUAUCUCCUUAAACCGAAAUUAAAUUGUACGUGCAAUUAAAAUAGAAUGAAAACAAAGCUGCCAAGCUAUAUUUAUAACUAUUCAAACAGGUGCUCUAAAUAUAACACUUUCAGGCCUCAGCGUUUUUGAUUAUGGUAUACUGUAGAAUUUGAUUGCAUGCCAGAGGACUGCUGUAGCACAUUUUCAGGGAUUAAAUUGACUUAAGCUGGAUCAAUAGCAUAUUCCAUCAAAUACUGCACAUGUUUGUACAAAUUUUUUGUAAAAUAUGCAGUUCUACAUUUUGUAGUGUUAUUGUACAGAGUCUGAGCACUGGGGGAAAACUUUCGGAAUGGUGCUAUAGCUCAAUGCAGUAUCUGGUAUUUUAGGACGCGGUUACACGGCAGUCUGAACUACUUCAGGUGAACAUGUUCAGCUGUUGAGUGCGGUUACACACAGUCUGAACAUGUUUCGUUCGAGGCCAUUUCCCAUUUAACUUAAACAGGUUGGCAAAGUAGUUCAGAUCGACAUAUCUUCUACAUUAGCCUCUGAUUGGCUGUUUAGAAUAUAAACAGUCCUUUGCAGAUAUUCAAGAUGGAAAGUGUUCCUGGCACAAGUUCGAGUAAUAUUAUACCGAAUGCAACAACAAAAAAAAUCAACAAAUAAUUAUAUGUAUUUUUUUAAAUUGAUUCUGGCCUUAAUUUUCUUAAAACUGAGAUAGGUACUCUCGCUCAAAAAAUAAUAACAAAUAAGUUUAAAAAAUUUUCUGUGCAUGUUGUUUGAAUUCCCGAUUUCUAAAAAAAUAUUGAGCAAUAUGAAAACACAUUCCAUUUCUGCUGAUAAUAGGACUGUAUAAACAAGUGAGAAAAUCCCGCGUUUUCUGGAUACAAAAUAGAGAAGAUCAACAACAUAGUCAUUCGUUGACAGUAGACAAUCGGUUUUAGAGCUGAACACACUUUUCAGCAACUACCGUGUAACCUUACACUUUCGCGUUUGUAAACGUGUUUACUUAAACAUGUUCACCUGAAGUAGUUCAGGGUCCCGUGUAACCGCGCCCUUAGUUUCAGGAACAUACAAUAUAAUAAUAGAUUUUACUCAUUUGGCAGCAGUAUUUGGUAAAUCUUAAGAUCUAGUUACUACAAUGUUUUUUUUUUUGAAGAUCAUAUCUUAACAUCACUCUCUUUAUUUCUCCACCAAAACUAUCAUGGGACCCUUUUUCAUGGGACGUUUCAAAGUAUCUGUAGUCAGCUGGAAAGACAAAAUCUUCUUCAUGGAAAAGAUCACAUACUUUACAUCUGCCUUUGAAUUAGCUUGCUGCAACAUCAGGAAAGUAGUGAACAAAAACAAAAUGAAACAGGAGCCUUGUCUUCAAAGCAUUUAAAAUGGUUCCAUUGAAUAGCAAAUAUGUUGUAAUUUACCUUAUGAUUAAAACUUUACUACUGCAAUGAAAAUUGUAACAAUGAGUGAGUUCCAGUGGGCCUGCAUGAUUUCGGAAUGAUGCUUAAUUAAAUCAUUUUCUGUGAAGUCUUCCAAAGUAAUUAUUUUGCUUUCUGGGAGUGUGUCUCUGUUCCCUACUUUAAUAGGAAAUACUUCCAUCAAAA